UUUGAAGCUUCGAGCACGAACCACUUUGGUGGUUCAUCUGGCUGAGAGGCUUUGACGUUUCAUGAGGCAUCAUCUCGGCACCACUAGAGAACAGACCUCCAGAUCUCCCCUCCUGCUGAGUCUCCACCCUCCGUGUCUCCUCCACCCUCCUCCGCUGCCUCCCCUCCACCACAGACAUGAUCAUCCGGCUGGGAAGACUGACGCCCGGCUACUUCAGACUGCUCCAGCGGCAAGUGGCCGGAGAGGUCCAGACCAAGCCUCACGACCGGGCCGUGAACCAGAUUGCCAUGAUGCUGGCCAUCAUGGGCCUGGGCCUGUCCUACUACAGUGCCAAGCAGAUGACCGAGACGGCCCAGGACCAGCCGCCGCCCUGAUCAGAGCCCCGACGCCAGCCUGAAAUACUCUGAAGCCAUCCGCACGACUACAAGAUGAAGACGAUUUGACUGGGUGGGCUGGGACAGAGAAAGUGGUUGAGAUCGUAGGCCUGGGCCCGCCAGCACCCUUUCCCCCAUCCAUCACCCUCUCCUGCCCUCACCAACGAUAGUGUUGAGAGGGCUCUAGUCCUGCUGUAAGGACCUGUUGUGUUUUAGUUAGUCCUGCUGGAUGUUGUUCAUCAUGGCCUUUUUUUGGAGAAGCAGAAUUGGCGGUCUAUAUUUGGGAUGGGGGGGGGUGGGGGGGGUUGGAGGUGUUCAGCUAUAGUCGUUGCUGAGGUUCUGAUAAUGCUGUUCUAAACUGUGAACCUUUCUGGUGGUAUAGCGAGGAGGAAGGCGGGUGGAAUGAUGUGAGGGGGUGAGGUCUGCUGAAGGGAUGCGUGCCGCCUGUAAUCAUUUCCUCAAAAGUGGAGCUCUGGGCAGACCGAUGGCUCUCUUCAGUGUUUUCUAUAUAUUCUUUUUUUUUUUUUUUUUUUUUUUUUUUCAAUCACUCUCCACUUUAGGAAAUCCCUGUUGCGUGUCCAGAAUCUAAGCGGGACCUUCUCUCUCGGUCCAUAUUCAUGCUUGUUUGGUAUCUGUAACAGUAUUUGCACAGUAUACGAGUGAAACGUUUUUAGGAAGGACUUUGACGUUGUAUUCAUCACUACUUGUAUAUUUCCCCCUGUUCUGUUUCUGAGCCCUGGGCAGCACACCAGGACUGUCAUUGAAACGUCUUUCUUCAUUGAACUGUGCAUGUGUGUGUGUGUGUGCCCUAAUUUUAACCUAGAAUCUUCGAAUAUUGUGUUUUUAUUGAUGAAUGUAUAUGACUUCGUUUAUGAACUGAUUUAAUAAAGCUGUGACACUUUAAUUGAAAGAUUUCAAGUCGGUAAUUUCAAGUAUUGUUGGUAAUCCAGACAAUGCUUGAGUAGUUUAACCACAAACUGACAAAUCUCAAAACCCAGGCCUUAGAUGUUACUUCUCUGUGACACCACUUCCUGUGGCAUUUAGCAAUGUCGUGCGAGUGACUCACCCACAACGUAGUGUCCUCGGCUGGGGCGGAUAUGUUAAAGAGGUGUUCUUUAACUCUAGCGUUUAUUGAAUUUACCAGAACGUUGCUCUGGUGGCUAUUGGUAUUUUGUUGGAGCCAUUUUGUGUUCCUGGUGUUUGGCUUUUAAAAAAUGGCGGCUAGUCUACAAUGGUCUGGUUCUGUUGGCUUAGUUAAAAGAGUUUGGUUUUACCAACACAAUGUUCUGGUGCACUUAUAGAAAAGCUGUUCAAGAGCUCUGUCAUCUGUUGGUUGGGAGUCUGAGUGCAUGUGUAACAUGGCAAUGACGAGCGCUAUCAGAUUUCUCACACUUCUAGGCAACGCUUUAAUAGUGCUAUGCGACUGGGAGCGAACGCUUGAUGAGAGCCUUAUCAGCUUUUAACGCGUGCACGCAUCACAUUUUGUGAACCUCUAUACACAGAAGUCGUUUGUUUUUUUGAAGAAGGAAACGCGUGUCUGCUCGUUCAGACUGGGGUCGGUGGGCAGACGUGACGCCAUGUGACAGGCGCUGAC
ensembl:lncRNA